rnacentral:rRNA from 1 species
UACGUAGGGGGCAAGCGUUAUCCGGAUUUACUGGGUGUAAAGGGGGCGCAGACGGCGAUGCAAGCCAGGAGUGAAAGCCCGGGGCCCAACCCCGGGACUGCUCUUGGAACUGCGUGGCUGGAGUGCAGGAGGGGCAGGCGGAAUUCCUGGUGUAGCGGUGAAAUGCGUAGAUAUCAGGAGGAACACCGGUGGCGAAGGCGGCCUGCUGGACUGCAACUGACGUUGAGGCCCGAAAGCGUGGGUAUCGAACAGG